AAGCAAUCUGUCCGCCUUGGCCUCCCAAAGUGUUGGGACUACAAGUGUGAGCCACCAUGCCCAGCUGAUUUUUGACUUUAGUAAAGCACUUUACUUUGCACUUCCACUCAUGUCUAAGAAGUAAACUAUUGUUAAUACAAUAAAUGUGGGAGUCAUAUUAAGUCAAACCUGGUUUUAGAAGAAAAACCACUAAAUUCAUUAAACCUUUGACAGUACAUAGGAAUGUGAGCAUGUGUUGUUAUAGCAUUAAAGUAAUAAUUCAAAAUACACAAUUAGAGAAUUCUGGUUCAUAUAAAUCCUACAACAACUUUAAGGUUUAAUAUCAGAGCUCAGAUGUGA
rnacentral:lncRNA from 1 species